AUUUGAAUAGGGUUUCAGACCAGGGCCGUAGGGACCUAUUUGAAUAGGGUUUCAGACCAGGGCCGUAGGGACCUAUUGGAAUAGGGUUUCAGACUGUUGGAACUAGUAACAUAAGCAUUUUGCUGCACCUGCUAUAACACUUCCAAAUCUGUGCAAGCAACCAAUACACUUUGGUUGAUUUGGAAAGUAGUGCACUAUAAUAGGGAAUAGGGUUCCAUAGGGCCCUGGUCUAAAGUAGUUCACUAUAUAUAGGGAAUAGGGUGCCAUAGGGCUCUGGUCUAUAGUAGUGCCCUAUAUAGGGAAUAGGGUGCCAUAGGGCUCUGGUCUAUAGUAGUGCCCUAUAUAGGGAGCCGUUUCAGGCGCUGCCAGAGUCUUCAAAGCCCAUGUCCCCCAGAGGGUUUCUGAAGGGUAGGUCCAGGAGUUUUUCCUGACCCCUCUGUAACCUGCAGGAUAAACUCUAUGCCAUAGAACGGACCUCCCAAUUCAAGUCAAUAAUGGCAUACUGGGUGUAGAGGUUCCAUUUUUAUAUUCCAGGCCUGACCGAUAAAGAGCUGUUGGCUAUAUGUUUUCCUUUUUCAAAUCUCUCAUCUAUGACCUCUAGGUGUUUCAAACCUGUCUUCUACAACCUCUAGGUGUUAUAAACCUCUCCUCUACAACCUCUAGGUGUUGUAAACCUCUCAUCUAUGACCUCUAGGUGUUGUAAACCUCUCCUCUACAACCUCUAGGUGUUAUAAACCUCUCCACAACCUCUAGGUGUUUCAAACCUCUCCAGGACCUCUAGGUGUUUCAAACCUCUCCAGGACCUCUAGGUGUUUCAAACCUUUCUAGGACCUCUAGGUGUUUCAAACCUCUCCAGGACCUCUAGGUGUUUCAAACCUUUCUAGGACCUCUAGGUGUUUCAAACCUUUCUAGGACCUCUAGGUGUUUCAAACCUCUCCUCUAGGUGUUCCAAACCUCUCCUCUAGGACCUCUUGUUGCAGCCCUGACCUAGCACACUUGAUUCAAAUAGUCAAGGGCUUGAUGAUUGGUUGACAAGUUGAAUCAGGUGUUCUAGCUCUGGAAUAGUUCAAAUACAUGGAACGGCUGGAGAACCCAGAGGAGAGGUUUGAGAACGGCUGGAGAACCCAGAGGAGAGGUUUGAGAAUGGCUGGAGAACCCAGAGGAGAGGUUUCAGAACGGCUGGAGAACCCAGAGGAGAGGUUUGAGAACGGCUGGAGGUCCCAGAGGAGAGGUUUGAGAACGGCUGGAGAACCCAGAGGAGAGGUUUGAGAACGGCUGGAGAACCCAGAGGAGUGGUUUGAGAACGGCUGGAGAACCCAGAGGAGAGGUUUGAGAACGGCUGGAGGUCCCAGAGGAGAGGUUUGAGAACGGCUGGAGGUCCCAGAGGAGAGGUUUGUGAAUGGCUGGAGGUCCCGGGGGAGAGGUUUGAGAACGGCUGGAGGUCUCGGAGGAGAGUUUUGGAACGGCUGGAGAACCCGGAGGAGAGGUUUGGAAAAGGCUGAGCUAUAUGUUUGCCAAACAACUUUACAUGUCUGUUUCACACACAGGAAGGUAUUGCAGUUGAAUCACAAUUCAUGUUGAUUAAAACAAAUGAUAAUGAAAGAUUUGUAUUUCUGUGUGUAGUAACCAGGUAUUAUUAUUGUGUACUGUGUUAGUUUAGAGGUGUUACAGAGUGAAAGAUGGGGGUAACAGGAAGAGGAGGAGUCGAAGAGCAAUGGGCUGGAUGACAGGAAGGGGAGGAGUCAUAGGGCAGUGGGCUGGAUGACAGGAAGAGGAGGAGUCAUAGGGCAGUGGGCUGGAUGACAGGAAGAGGAGGAGUCAUAGGGCAGUGGGCUGGAUGACAGGAAGAGG
ensembl:lncRNA